UACGGAAGGGGCAAGCGUUGUUCGGAAUCAUUGGGCGUAAAGGGCGCGUAGGUGGUUCUGUAUGUCUACCGUGAAAGCGUACGGCUCAACCGUAUUUUGUCGGUGGAAACUGCAGGACUUGAGGCUGGGAGGGGCUGGUGGAAUUCCCUGUGUAGCGGUGAAAUGCGUAGAUAUCGGGAGGAACACCAGUGGCGAAGGCGCCUAUCUGGCUGACAACUGACGCUGAGACUCGAAAGCAUGGGGAGCAAACAGG
rnacentral:rRNA from 1 species